rnacentral:rRNA from 1 species
UGCCUAAUACAUGCAAGUCGAGCGCGGGAAGCAUGCGGAUCUCUUCGGAGUGAAGGAUGUGGAACGAGCGGCGGACGGGUGAGUAACACGUGGGCAACCUGCCUGUAAGACUGGGAUAACCCCGGGAAACCGGAGCUAAUACCGGAUGAUUUUGGUCACCGCAUGGUGAGCGAAUAAAAGAUGGUUUCGGCCAUCACUUACAGAGGGGCCCGCGGCGCAUUAGCUCGUUGGUAAGGUAACGGCUUACCAAGGCAUCGAUGCGUAGCCGACCUGAGAGGGUGAUCGGCCACACUGGGACUGAGACACGGCCCAGACUCCUACGGGAGGCAGCAGUAGGGAAUCUUCCGCAAUGGACGAAAGUCUGACGGAGCAACGCCGCGUGAGUGAGGAAGGUUUUCGGAUCGUAAAGCUC